rnacentral:rRNA from 1 species
AACGAACGCUGGCGGCAUGCCUAACACAUGCAAGUCGAACGAGACCUUCGGGUCUAGUGGCGUACGGGUGCGUAACGCGUGGGAACCUGCCCUUAGGUUCGGAAUAACUCCCCGAAAGGGGUGCUAAUACCGGAUAAUGUCUUCGGACCAAAGAUUUAUCGCCUUUGGAUGGGCCCGCGUUGGAUUAGCUAGUUGGUAGGGUAAAAGCCUACCAAGGCGACGAUCCAUAGCUGGUCUGAGAGGAUGAUCAGCCACACUGGGACUGAGACACGGCCCAGACUCCUACGGGAGGCAGCAGUGGGGAAUAUUGGACAAUGGGCGAAAGCCUGAUUCAGCAAUGCCGCGUGAGUGAUGAAGGCCUUAGGGUUGUAAAGCUCUUUUACCCGGGAUGAUAAUGACAGUACCGGGAGAAUAAGCUCCGGCUAACUCCGUG